rnacentral:rRNA from 1 species
UGGGGAAUUUUGGACAAUGGGCGCAAGCCUGAUCCAGCCAUGCCGCGUGCGGGAAGAAGGCCUUCGGGUUGUAAACCGCUUUUGGCAGGAACGAAACGGCGCGAGCGAAUAUCUCGCGUUAAUGACGGUACCUGCAGAAUAAGCACCGGCUAACUACGUG